AGUGAACGCUGGCGGUAGGCCUAACACAUGCAAGUCGAACGGCAGCACAGUAAGAGCUUGCUCUUACGGGUGGCGAGUGGCGGACGGGUGAGGAAUACAUCGGAAUCUACUUUUUCGUGGGGGAUAACGUAGGGAAACUUACGCUAAUACCGCAUACGACCUACGGGUGAAAGCAGGGGAUCUUCGGACCUUGCGCGAUUGAAUGAGCCGAUGUCGGAUUAGCUAGUUGGCGGGGUAAAGGCCCACCAAGGCGACGAUCCGUAGCUGGUCUGAGAGGAUGAUCAGCCACACUGUAACUGAGACAGGGUCCAGACUCCUGCGGGGGGCAGCAGUGGGGAAUAUUGGACAAUGGGCGCAAGCCUGAUCCAGCCAUACCGCGUGGGUGAAGAAGGCCUUCUGGUUGUAAAGCCCUUUUGUUGGGAAAGAAAAGCAGCAGGUUAAUACCCCGCUGUUCUGACGGUACCCAAAGAAUAAGCACCGGCUAACUUCGUG
rnacentral:rRNA from 1 species